UAUCUCUCUGUACAGGGAAGGAUGAGAAUCUUCGAUUAAGGUUCGAUUCGAGCGGAAGCGAGAGAACGUUGCCAACGGCAACGGCCCGAAGGGCGCGACGCGCCGAGUCAUCCUUCCCCCACCACAA
rnacentral:sRNA from 1 species